CCAGCUGUUGGGAAGGGGGAAGCCUACUAAAAUAUAACAGACAUUGCUAGACUGUUAUAUAUCAGCUGCCCAGUUCUGGGGAGAAGCAAGCUAGCAUUGUGUUGCUUGAGGUUUGAGUUCCUUCUAAUGCUUCCAUAGUGGGCUUUGCAAGGAAAAUUGGUAUUAUUAUUCCUGUUUUCUUCAUGGGGAAACUGAGGCACUGCAAGCAAUGACUUCUCCAAGCUCACCCAACAAACUUAAGCCUGGGCACCAGGAGGAAGGCUUAACUGAGAUUGGGCCGACAGGCAAGCAGAGAGCAGCACAGAGAGAAGUGAUAGGGAGAUCUGGUACACAUAUAGAGGUAAGGGA